AUUGAACGCUGGCGGCAGGCCAAAAAAGGCAAGUCGAACGAGUGGCGGACGGGUGAGUAAUGUCUGGGAAACUGCGAGAAGGAGGGGGAUAAGUACUGGAAACGGUAGCUAAUACCGCAUACAACAGGAUGUGACCAGAUGGGAUUAGCUAGUAGGUGGGGUAACGGCUCACCUAGGCGACGAUCCCUAGCUGGUCUGAGAGGAUGACCAGCCACACUGGAACUGAGACACGGUCCAGACUCCUACGGGAGGCAGCAGUGGGGAAUAUUGCACAAUGGGCGCAAGCCUGAUGCAGCCAUGCCGCGUGUAUGAAGAAGGCCUUCGGGUUGUAAAGUACUUUCAGCGAGGAGGCGUUACUCGCAGAAGAAGCACCGGCUAACUCCGUGCCAGCAGCCGCGGUAAUUC
rnacentral:rRNA from 1 species